UGGCUGCUGGCACGGCGCCCGGGUGAAUGAGGAGAAACCCCAGCAGAUGCCAUGUGAAUAAGUGCAAAGGAAUGUGAGGGGGGAGCUGUGCAAACCAGCCAGGCAGGAAACAGCCACCAUUUCAGAACCGGUUUUGAUCAGAAACAUCCAGGAGAGAAUUUCAUCAAAAAAAAAAAAACCCAACUGGAAUAAGGGAAACCAAACCAACUUUGAAGUGUCAGAGAGUCUCACAAAAUGAUUUCCCGACAGGCUGCUUCGACAUUUUCGGAAGCACUUUGGGGUCGGGACUGUUCUUCUGUCUCUGUUUGUACAGCGCCUAGCACAGUGGGGGUCUGGUCCGCGGCUGGGGCUCAAAUCAUGAGCCCGCUCCGUGGAUCUCAGCUGGUAUCCCCUGCGUGUCUGGCAGAUCCGGAGCAUGAAGGGAGAUCUGCACUAAACGUGAAGAAGGCCUGGAAGGGAGAGACGUCCUUGGGCUGCUGCUCGGGAGUAACCUGCCGUCCCCCUCACUGCUGCUGCCGCACCG
rnacentral:lncRNA from 1 species